UAAAAAAUAAAUAUAUUUUACCUUAAAAUUUAUGAAAGCAAAUUUUCCCAAACAUGACGCGUCAUGUCCAAUUGAUGAUACUCAGAUAGAAACCUACCAGCUGUUGGUUUAAAAAAUUUGGACAGGACCUAACCAUGACUGAAUUCACACUGCCUGCCCCUCCUACACAUCUUUAUAUUCAUCCGAGUUACCCUAGAGUUUGA
rnacentral:lncRNA from 1 species